CAGGCAGGAGCCAGACAGGGACCAGGGAAUAAGCCCCAUGUACCAGUCAUGCAAAUAUUUCACAACCCAAUCCCAGACCAUUUUCCAAGUCCCAGCCGCAUGUUUGCACUUCGGCUCUGGAAAGAGGGGCUUUGUUCCUGAUCUACCUGUGUAUCGGGAAGAGCUGCUCCAGAUCCAUUUCCAAGAGCAAGACUAUGUCCAAAAUGGUGUAAAUCAGGAACAUGACUGUUGAACAAGGAGCGAAAGAGCCAGGAGAUCUGAGUCUUCCACCUGUGCUUCCAGCUACCUGCUUCAUAUCGCUGUGUUUGCCCCUCUGUCAAACAGCGCAGCGGGGAGCAAAAGGGAACAAGACAUGGGGGAUGGAGAAACACAAGGGAGAAACAAGAUAACGUGGGGAUUGAUCUGUCCAAAGGGCAGAGGAACAUUUACGAUGUAAAAUUACAGCGCCUAUUACUCGGGAGUGCUGCACGCCAUGGUGAUUCAGCAUGACUGGGACCGAGGGAACAACUAGAGCCUGUUAGCCGGAUCCCUCCGCUUUCACACCUCCACGUGGCUUUGCAGCAAAUCAAAACGCAACAAAUGGCUUUGCAUCAUUUCUUCAAGGAGUCCUGGGCCUUGUACGUUAUCUUGAGGGCAGGGUAUGUGCUAUAAUAAAAGACGGCUUUAUUGCCAGCUGCAACAAAGCCAAGGAUUCAGACGCGUAUCGCCUUGUGGGUUCAUUGUAA